rnacentral:lncRNA from 1 species
CCCUGGCCAGCGCCCACUGCGCCAGGUGAGGAAUCCGAAGUCCUCAUCAAGGACCCUCCACUUAUUACAAAUUCAGCUGGGACUGAAGCGGUGUGUCCGCAGCUUGGACACCAAACAGGCGACCCCUUUACUAGCUGAGAAUACGCCUCUGUGAAGACAAGUGACUGCAAAGCAGCGAAGCCUCAGUCCUGAGAGCAUUUUUCUAAGACAUCAGUUCCAUCAGAUAUGUCUUUGGGAAUCAUUUCAUACUCAGCCAAGUGUUAGAAAGGGCUGGUUGGCAUUAUUUGCUCCAAUAAUAAAUCCAUGUGCGCUAAUGUUCGUCAAUGCUGCUCUGCAGGGAGAAGUCAAAGCACGCAAGCCAGGCCUCCAUGGGGAGGCCCGAGAUGACUGGAGGGUUUGUGCCUAAGCAUUUGUUCAGAUGCAAUAAUCCACUACUCUUGGGGAGAAAAUGAUCCUUUUUUAAAAAUUAUUUUGUCUUUUUAAAAAACUGAUCUAACAAAUUUUGCAGAAUUGAAGGAGCAACUGAAGCAAAGUUUUCUUGUUGAUAGAGGUGUGUCCGGUGUGCAGAUGUGUCCUUUGGAGACUGGGUCGACAUGUCGCCAUGGCACUGUGCCUGCUCCAGUCCCUGGCCAGCCCUCCAUCUGUCAGCGACAGCACACGAGGUCCUCCUGGACAGAGAGUAUCCAGUACUAUGGACACUGUGGACACAGAAAAUGCUUCCUUCCUCUCUAAAUCUCCCCAGGAGGGCUCCCUGGUGAGGCCCAAGGGAGGUGAUCCAGACAGCCAUCUCCUCACCAGAGCUUCUCCUCCCCCCUCAAACGAUGGAGAGAAAACAUGGAGAUGCUUCUUGCCGGCAGGUUUAUAAGAUUCAAAGCUUCUGGUGAGAAGCAGAGACAAGGUAGUAUCCUUCUGUGUUGGGGAGAGCUGGCCACUGCUGAUGCCAUAGCUGAGAGUCCCCUGCAGAAGCUGUCCCAGGAGGCCACAGGAGGGGUUGUCCUGGUGCAUGCCGACGGUAGCAGAGCUGCUACUCCUGCCGGUCCGUCCCUGGUGUUUAAUGAGCCCGUCCUGAGAUGAAGGAGGGAAAGUGGGGGCAGGCAAAAGAGAGAAUGUCCAUUGUGCCAGGAGGCAUCCCCGCCUUCCUCCUGUAGCUCUGGGACCAGCUGCAAGAAGGCAAAGUAUCAUACCAGCCUUUUGAGAGGGGAGGCUCAGAAGCCCAUCAGCAGACGAAUGAGCAGACAGAAUGCGGUCUAUCCGUGUGAUGGAACAUUAUUCAGCCGUAAAAAGGAAUGAAGCACUGACCCAGGCUACAACACGGUGAACCCUGAAAACGUGAUGCUGCGUGAAAGAAGCCACUCACAAAUGCCACACGUUGCGUGAUUCAAACGCCACACAUUGCAUGAUUCAAACGCCACACAUUGCAUGAUUCAAACGCCACACAUUGCAUGAUUCCAUUUACAUGAAAUGCCCAGAAUAGGUGAGUGACGGGGCAGAAAGCAGGUGAGUGGUUACCUGGGGCUAGGGGUGGGCCGACAGGGAGUGACUGCUGAUGUGCACAGGGUUUCUGUGGGGGGAGAUGAAAACAUUCUGGAGGACUAGAUGGGGUGACGGAUGCACAGCCUUUGAGUGUGCUGAAUACCAUCAAAUGAUACACUUUAAAAUGGUGGUAAUGGUACAUGUAAUGUUAUGUGUAUCUUACCACCGUUUAAAACAGAGCUUGACCGGUUAGUUUAACAAAUAUUAUGAGUGGCUUUUGUUAUGGGCCGGGUGUGGUGGUUUGUUCACUGAUUUGGCAAAUAUUUGUUGAGCAGCUGCCGUGUGUCAGGUGCUGGGCUAGGUGCUGGGGGUUAGUGAUGAGCUAAAUCAAUUCUCAUGGGACCUGAACUCAGCAGAGGAGACAGAGGGACUAUUCCACAAGUAACUGUGUAAACUGCAUGGGUGGCAGGGCAGCCGUGCAGCUAGGAGUAGUGACCAAGAAGAGUCCAAGGAAAGCCCUGCAAUGCCACUGGAUAGUGGGCAGGGGGCUCAGGCAGGACUGCAAUGAGCCUGUGGGUUUUGUUCCUACAGCAAAAGAAAGGAGUGGCUGACUUGGCAGAGAAGAGAUGAAAUCAUAUUUGCAUUUGACCAAGAUGGAGACAGUAGGGGGAGGAGGUGGGUGACCUGGAGGCUCACCUGGGAUGGUGAGCCAGGCCCCUCAGGGGGUGGUGGGUGGGAGUGGGCUGUAGAGGUUGCCAUGCAGGGGUCUCCCUUAGGCAGCAUAGUGGGUGUGUGGGGCAAGGCUUGUGAGAAGGGGCCACCCCAGCAAGGAUAAAGCGAUGCCUGCCCACGGGAGUAUCACGUUGGUCUGAGAUGCAAGAAGAAAGAAACGGAGAGGACCAUGGAGGGGGCUAAGAAAUUCUAAAGGCAAGAAACAGUCAGGGAAAAGAAAGGAUUCCACGGUGGGGGUGGCAGAGACCGAGUGCUGAGCCAGCGCCAGGCGCCCACCCUGUGGGCACAUGUUAUAAAGCAGCACCAUGAAAUGGAACGGCGAGGCUCCCCAACAAAACAGACUCUAGAAACUGAUGGCUGGGUGUGAACAUAACAAAACACUGGGAAGGGACAUAAUUAGUAAAUCUUGGGAUGAAUUAUCAAAUGGGAAGAGACCAGUGAAGUCAACCAGGGGGGCCCACCAUGCGAUUGUCCGGGUGAGGAGGGGAGGUUGGGCGCCUUCCCUGGCAUGCAGGUUGCCCCCAUCCUGCCUCCAGGGCUCAGGGCUCUGAGAGGACAUGGUUGCAGCAUGAAGGGCAUGGGCUUUGCCUCCUCCACUGUAGGGUGGGAGCCAGUCCUGCUGCAAAGAGCCGCUAUGGGGUUGGAGGUCACACAUGUGCACAGACAUGGCGCCUGGCCCACGGCAGGUGCUCCAUACAGCACAGGAAUAAUGGCUUCGUUACACAGAGCCAAGAAUAGGGAAGAAUUUGUUUUGCUCUAAGUGCAACCUUCACGCCAAGCAUAUUUAACUUCGAUGAAUAAGCAGCAAAAACAAACUUUGGGUUUUGUUCCUACAGCAAAAGAAAGGAGUGGCUGACUUGGCAGAGAAGAGAUGAGAUCAUAUUUGCACUUGACCAAGAUGGCCCCAGGAGAUAAUGGGAGGAAGGGGGUGACCCUGGAGGCUGAUCUGGGAUGGUGAGCUGGCCCCCUCCACUGUCGAAUGUUUAAAAAACAUUAAAAAUGAGUCAAAAGGAGAACAGAGGAAUCCGCCCCUAGCUGGUGAUGCUUCUUUUUGUUACAUACAAGUGAAGAGAGUAUAGAGAGUCAUUCAUUCAUUCAUGCAGCUCAUCUGGACUGAGCAUCUACUGUGUUAGAGAGACCACGUAUAAAUACCCUUUUAAAUGUUUAUUCAGUAACGAAGAUAUUCCUGCUUCUGACUUCUCCAUCCAGGUCUUGGAAUCACCACCUCUCACACACACACCCAGGAAUCAUCUCUGUACCAGCCUCCUUUUCUCUAACCUCGAUCCCAUCCCAUCUGACCAAUCAGAAACCAAAUCCCACCAGCCUUCUCUCUGUGAUCGAACUGCAUCUUCUUUCUUCUUCCCCACUGGGUCCAUCUGCUGGCUCUCUAGCUGGAAGCUUCUCCACACCACCCCGCACCCACCUGCCAGCCCAGCUGCCGGGACUUUGGAACAGACCUGGCUGUGGAUCCCCCUGGGGGGCUUCCAAGCUGUGUGACCUUGGACAUGUUAUCUCGCCCUCCUAGUGUUCAUCUUCCCCAUCAAUAAGACAGGCAUGAAGCUGCCUAGCUCACCAGGCUGUGGAAAGGAUGGAAGACCACAGCAGGAGGCGUGAAGCUCCUGCAUGGUGCCCAACACAGGCGAGAGGGCAGACCUGUCCCCUAGAUCCUUGGCCAGUGCUCUUUGCCACAGUUUCCCUUCCCUUGGGCUUCAUCCUGCUGAAGACACUGCUGACCCGGCUGCCUGCAGUGACCUGCAAGCCUGCACCUGCUGCUUCCUGAACUCUCCUUAGGUGCUGCCCAGAGACACCUCCUCUAUCCUGUGGAAUGUCAUGGGGACCUGGAUUGCUAUUUCAGAUUUCAUGUGUGUGCCUAUCGCCCCGGCUGGACUCAGUUCCUUCAGGAUUAGGACCAGGCCUUAUGGUCCUUUGAAUUCCUCCUCAAAAAUCUGCAGGUUUUCCAGAAACAUCUCUUGAUUUCAAUUAGAGGUUUGUAGCUCUAGCACCAAAGUUAAGUUGGAUCUAGGGCUGCUGUUUGCAAGACGUACUUACUAAUCCAGGUGGGCACAGGCCAUGCAGCAGCCAGGCCCUCCAGUGCUGGGCUGGGGCUGCCCUGCCCCCUCCCCUCUCAGGAUCAGUCCUCCCGUGGAGACGGGGUGUCUUUCUGGGGUGCAGAAGCAACCACUCACUCCUUGGCUUUGAGGCUUCAUGAGACCACAGGGAAGCGCUCAAGCCCCUCAGCCUGGAAAACAAUGCCAGGCUUCCUUUCUCAGAUAAUCCCUCUGAUCCCUGCCCCCCUGACCCUCCACAGGCACAUCCAGCCUCCUGCAGGGCUCCUCAGACCCCAACCUGCCCAGCUGUUGGCAUCACCCCUACCAUUUUCUGCCUGCAGAUCCCUCUCCCUCCUCACCUGAAAAUCUCUCUCCUCCCUCCAAGAAUCAGAUCACGGUUACC